rnacentral:rRNA from 1 species
UGCCUAGCCCUUAACAUAAGCAGCAAACAAUACAAUACUGCCCGCCAGAGAACUACAAGUGAAAAGCUUAAAACUCCAAGGACUUGGCGGUGCUCCACAUCGACCUAGAGGAGCCUGUCCUAUAAUCGAUACCCCACGUUAUACCUUACCAUUUUUUGCAACUUCAGCCUAUAUACCGCCGUCGUCCAACCUACCUUAUGAAAGAAACAAAGUAGGUAAAAUAGUUUACAACAAGUACGUCAGGUCAAGGUGUAGCAUAUAAAAUGGAAGAGAUGGGCUACAUUUUCUACUUCAGAAAACACGAACAGCACUGUGAAACCCGUGCUUAAAGGUGGAUUUAGCUGUAAGAUGAACAAGAAAGUUUGCCUUAACCCCGCUCUGGAGCGCGCACACACCGCCCGUCAC